rnacentral:rRNA from 1 species
UACGUAGGGGGCUAGCGUUGCUCGGAAUCACUGGGCGUAAAGGGCUCGUAGGCUGGCGUGUAAGUCUGACGUGAAAUCUCCACCGCUCACCGGGGAGAGGCCGCUGGAUACUGCACGUCUGGAGUUCGGCAGAGGACCAUGGAAUUCCCGGUGUAGUGGUGGAAUGCGUAGAGAUCGGGAGGAACACCAGUGGCGAAAGCGGCUCUCUGGUCCAAAACUGACGCUGAGGGGCGAAAGCGUGGGGAGCGAACGGG